GCAUAUCAAUAAGCGGAGGAAAAGAAACCAACAGGGAUUGCCUCAGUAACGGCGAGUGAAGCGGCAACAGCUCAAAUUUGAAAUCUGGCCUCUUUGGGGGUCCGAGUUGUAAUUUGUAGAGGAUGUUUCGGGUACCGCCCCGGUUUAAAUUUCUUGGAACAGAAUGUCAGAGAGGGUGAGAAUCCCGUCUUGGACCGGCGGUAGGGCUCAUGUGAAACUCCUUCGACGAGUCGAGUUGUUUGGGAAUGCAGCUCAAAAUGGGUGGUAAAUUUCAUCUAAAGCUAAAUAUUGGCCAGAGACCGAUAGCGCACAAGUAGAGUGAUCGAAAGAUGAAAAGCACUUUGAAAAGAGAGUUAAACAGUAUGUGAAAUUGUUGAAAGGGAAGCGCUUGCAAUCAGACUUGCGCGCGGCGGUUCCCCCUUCCUUUUGGUUGGGCUACUCCGCCGCGUCCAGGCCAACAUCGGUUCUGGGGGCCGGUUAAAGGCUCUGGGAAUGUAUCUACCCUUUUGGCGUAGACUUAUAGCCCAGGGUGUCAUGCGGCCUCCCGGGACCGAGGAACGCGCUUCGGCUCGGAUGUUGGCGUAAUGGUUGUCAGCGACCCGUCUUGAAACACGGACCAAGGAGUCUAACAUCUAUGCGAGUGUUUGGGUGUCAAACCCGGAACGCGUAAUGAAAGUGAACGGAGGUAGGAAGCUUCGGCUGCACUAUCGACCGAUCCUGAUGUCUUCGGAUGGAUUUGAGUAAGAGCAUAGCUGUUGGGACCCGAAAGAUGGUGAACUAUGCCUGAAUAGGGUGAAGCCAGAGGAAACUCUGGUGGAGGCUCGCAGCGGUUCUGACGUGCAAAUCGAUCGUCAAAUUUGGGUAUAGGGGCGAAAGACUAAUCGAACCAUCUGGUAGCUGG
rnacentral:rRNA from 1 species